GCCUGUGUCGAAAAUAAAUAAAUAAGUUUGAUCCUUGAAGAACUAGACACGUCAACACAUGUUUAAAGGGUUGUAGAAAGCGAUACAGAAAAAAGUCCAGCUCUUCCAUCGCCAGGGAUCGUUCUAAUGCACGAUUUUGAGCUUCGGCCCACCACGAAGAGUUGGUAGAGUCCAAUGCCCUCUGAUGCCCAGUGAUAACUAGUGAUACAGCGGAAGAAAGGCCUCGACUGGAAACAUAAUGAACUUUGCAGCCCUUGUUCGUGAGCAUUGGGCUAACAUACUUGUACCCAUUGGCUUUGUGAUUGGAAUUUACAUGGACCGAGCACAAGACAUGAAGCUGACGGCAUUUAGGAAUAAAAGUGCCCUAUACAGCAGGGAACUAAAGCCAGGCGAGGAGGUGACCUGGAAAUAAUCCCGUCUGUCUUGGAAUAUUUAGUGUCAACAUGUCCUGUUGUGCAAUUAUAUGGUCGUCUCAUCUGAUAUCUUGAAUUCUUUAUCACUUAUGGGAUGUAUCAACCAAUUAUAAACAUACCCUUUGUCAUCCAACAUUU